UUAGACUCCCACACUGUUAGGCAUGUGGAUAACUUGGAUUUGAUUCACCUUUUGUUUCCUUAAGUCUACUAACAGGACAAUUUACAAUAUGUGUUCUCACAAUCCCCUACAUGAUUAUUCUCAACAGCUGUAUGAUAAAUAUCGUGAAGCUUUUGAAGAAUAUAUCAUAACAACGGUAAGGGUAGCUGCAGUUUUCAUUCACAUUUCACAUUAGUAGAAAUUAAACAAGGUACUACAAUAAAACAAGAAAAAUAAGAAUUUUUGAGAAGUAUUAUUCUUAAUUUUUCUAUGAUGUUUGUUAUAUCCACGUACCAUUCUUGAUUGUUUGCUCUCUAUGUAUCAUUCUAGAAUAUUUGGAACUUAAAAAAAUGAUAUCUCUAAUAAAGAAACAAAAAAUCAUUAGUCUGGUGAGCCCUUUGUUUCUAUUUUAUUUUUCAAUUUUAGCCAUGUAACAAAGAGGGCUUAGUAUGGGUAGUUUCCUUGGUUCCUUCUGUGAUUUUAUUUUCUGCCCUCCAUGAUUUUAUUUAAUAAGGAUCCAUGUGCAAGUAUCAACAUUUUUUUGGGAUGUGAAUGUUUAUGUAAUUCAGGCAUUGCUUUCCCAAGAGGCAUAUUAUCUUUUAGUUUUAUUCCCAUAAUUAUAUGAUUCAAAUUUAGAAAGUCUGCUCUUGCUGCUUCUUUAUUCCAUAGCAUAUUAAGAAAAGGAUACGGGGAAAGUGGAUAGAAGUUUCAAAACACAGCUAAAUUACACGGAUUUUUUGUAUGUUAUUUUAGGCAUGCAAUUUUUCUUAGGAGUUUAAAAUGAUGAAAACUCAAAUUUAGGUUAAAGUUUGUUUACCUAAUUUUUGUUUCUCCAAAUAAUUCUACCUUAUCUAAAUUUCACAUUGCAAUUCAAUUUCAAAUUAGGUAUUGCCUUCUUUGAGAGAAAAACAUGACGAGCUCAUGUUGCGAGAGCUGGUAAAAAGGUGGUUAAAUCAUAAGGUCAUGGUCAAAUGGUUGUCGAGAUUCUUCCAGUAUCUUGAACGCUAUUUGAUUGUCCAGAGAUCUCUGCCGGGACUUAUAGAAGUUGGAUUAACUUGCUUCCGUGAUCAGGUAAUUUACAGUUCUCCUUCUCUUUUUUCUUUUCGUCAAAACUUUGUUUCUAUUGUCAUCUAUUAAUACAUCUCCACCUGCUCUCUUGGUUAAAGAACUGAGUUCAGCUCAUCGCUUCUAUAUUGAUCUUUUUAUUUCUAUUUUCUGGGUUUUGCCUCUUCUAGAAUUUGGUUUUCAGUUUGACAGUAUACUAGUCAACUGCUGCCACAUCCUUUUACGAGAAGAUGUUAUCAUUUAGUCCCUCCAUCCCAAUUAUGUGAAGGUGAUUGACUGGGCACGGAGUUUUAAGAGAAAAAGAAAGAAUUUUGAAACUUGUGGUAUAAAGUAAGCUAUAUGAACUUAAGUAAAACAAGGAGUUUGAAGUUAAAUUGUUACUAAUAUGGAAAGAUGUCCCUUUUUUGUGGACUGACUAAAAAAGAAAGAGUAUCACAUAAAUUGGGACAGAGGUAAUAUCUUACUGGCAACUGUUUUCUAUUUCAGGUCUACCAAGAGUUGAAUGGAAAAGUCGGGGAUGUUGUUAUAUCUCUGGUAUCCCUUUUGUCUUGCUCUGAGUUCUCACUACCAUUUCUUUUUUUCCUUUUAAUUGAGCAACAACAUUCCUCUAACCAGAUUGAUCAAGAGCGUGAGGGAGAGCAAAUUGACAGAGCUCUACUAAAGAAUGUGCUAGAUAUAUAUGUUGAAAUUGGAAUGGGGUUAAUGGAUUAUUAUGAGAACGGUUUUGAAGCUGCAAUGCUCAAGGACACAAUGGCUUAUUAUUCUUGCAAAGCUUCUAACUGGAUCAUCGAAGAUUCAUGUCCAAAUUAUAUGCUGAAAGUUAGUAUACUGCAUAUGCAACCCCUUAAUUCUGCAUUCUUUCCUUGUUGCUUCUUCUGUCUGCCUUUUUUCUGGUUAAAUUCCAUAUGCUAACCUACAUAAUCAUGUCAAUGUUCCUUUAGGCCGAGGAGUGCUUGAAACGGGAGAAGGAUAGGGUCUCUCAUUAUCUCCAUUCAAGCAGCGAGACAAAGUUGCUUGAGGUUCAUUCUAGCUCUUAAUCUUUUUUCUUUACUGGAACUUUAGCCUUCAAAAUGGUGGAUGUUGCUAUCAGUUUUUAUUGUUCACAUCUUCUUUUUUCUGGAUCUAGCCUAUCAACUUUAAAUUAGCUGCAACUUUACUCCUCUCACCUUUCUGCAGAAAGUGCAACAUGAGUUGUUGUCUGUGUAUGCCACUCAACUUCUUGAGAAGGAGCACUCUGGAUGCCAUGCGUUACUAAGAGAUGAUAAGGUAGUUAGCAGCAUCUUAAUGACCAUGUUUUUUUUUUGCAGUAAUUGACACAAUCAUGAUUAUUUUAUUAGGUUGAAGAUUUAUCAAGGAUGUAUAGGCUCUUUUCUAAGAUCCCUCGAGGCUUAGACCAUGUGGCCAAUACUUUUAAGCAGGUUUGUGAUCUCAUGACCUCAUCUUCUCAAUUGUAUGCCUAUAAGUUACUUCAUGUAUCCUUCUUUUUAAUCUGAAUGCAGCAUGUUACUGCUGAAGGGACAGCUUUGGUAAAACAGGCUGAAGAUGCUGCUAGCAAUAAAAAGGUUUGUACAAUCUACCCUUUUCUCACAAAAUCUGUUUCUUUCCCUCCAAAAAAAACUCACAAAAUCUUAAAAAAUACAAAAUAGCUCCUUGCCGAUUUUCUGGCCAAAAAUUGAAGCUUUUCACUGGAAAAUUACUCCACAUGACAAAAACCUCCUCAAGAUCAGCCAUUGUAGUUCUCCAUUGUUGUAGAAGCUCGAAAUAUUUCAUCCAUUAUAGAAGAGCUCGUUUUUCCAGCAGCCUCUUUCCAGUCGUUUUUGCAGCGACAUUUUGUUGUUACAUUUCACCAUUCCAGUAGCUCAUCUGACCUAUAAGAGAUCUAUCCCCGUGGUUUUCUUUUUUCUAGUAUUUAAAAAUCAUCAAGCAGUGAGCAGUAGCAUCGACCAUUACUGGCUUAUUAUGUCGUUUGCUGAAUAUAGUGGUGAUUAUGGUGGUGAAUGGGAGGAGACUUCAAAAUGUUGGAAGUGGAACCCUCUGAGUAAGGUGACAGUGUCCAUUGUCCUGCGUCGCAAUAGUACAUAUGAUGACAUGGUUGAGGGAAUUAAAUUGUGAGCCUAGCAACUUGAUCAUUAGUUAUUUGAUGAAUGCUGAGGGAAAAAUUCAUCCAUAUUUCAUAACAAAUGAUAGGCAGGCAGGGUUGUGCUUGUUUGAUUUUGUCCCUGAUGGUCCUAGACUAAUUUUCUGGGUUAAAGUUGUUGAGAGGCAUGAAUAAGAAGAAGGUUCAACACCAUUAGGGUGGGGGUGGGUGGGGGGAUUGUCCCUGGAAAAUGCUUGAUAUAAAUAUUAGAGAAAGGGAAAAUCCAUUCAUUAGAAAGCUCAUGCUGCUUCACAAUACAUCAAGUAAAAAGUUAUUCUAAACUCAGUGAAAAAAGUUAGAGACAAUAAGUUCAGGGACCUUUCUCAAAAAGCAGCAAUCCCUUGAAAAGGGGAGAUGACUGCUAGAAUAUAUUGUGUAUCACAUCUUGAGCUGUCAGUUUGUGAGACUAGCUAUUUAUUGCUGAUUAGAGCAUUUUGCUAUUUUUUUAUUUUUUUUCCGGCUUACCACCCGGUGUUCAGUACCCGCAUUGGGGCUCGAGUAAUCCGAGUUCGCGCCAGGAUGUCUCACACUGGGGUAAAGCGCUCCGUAAUUAAUGCGACUCCAUAACCAAGGGAACUCUAACCGGAGACCUGAUUAAGGAGUAGGGAUUACUUACCACUCCACCACAACCCUUGUUCGUAACAUAUUGCUUUUCUGCUUUUUUAAUUUCCAUAUUGUGCUUUUUAAGGAGUAGGGAUUACUUACCACUCCACCACAACCCUUGUUCGUAACAUAUUGCUUUUCUGCUUUUUUAAUUUCCAUAUUGUGCUUUUUAAGGAGUAGGGAUUACUUACCACUCCACCACAACCCUUGUUCGUAACAUAUUGCUUUUCUGCUUUUUUAAUUUCCAUAUUGUGCUUUUGAUGAGUUUUGUUCAGAGAUUUCUUCAGAACAUCAUAUCUUCUCUUUUGUAUCAAAAGCAUGAAAUCACAAAGUUGGACUUCCAUCUCAAUGAUUGUUUUGUUUCAUUUACUUUAUUUGGUGGUUGGGAAUGCUACUUAAAAAAGAUGGUAAACGUUUCUUUAAAGCAGAACCCCCCAUCAAAUUUGAUACUUAUCUUAGAGAAAGUGCAUGAGCAGUUGCUUAGGAAACCAACAAGUACUUUUUGUCUCUUUUCCUUCUUUUAUGUAUUUUAACUUUUCUUCUUCUGCUGGCUAGAACAAUGUCAAAAUUAAUUCAUUUCAUCUUUUUAGGGAUGAUUCUCUAAAAGAUGAGACUGGUAUUUCUUUGUGAGUGCAUUUAAUAUAAUUGCUCAAUGUCUUGCGUUCUUUCUGAUCAACUAGUGUUCUUAAACAGGCAGAUAAGAGAGAUGUGGUUGGUUUGCAGGAACAGGUAAUCCCUUAGUAAAUCUGUUAUCUGAUCCUUUAAUAUGUUUUCGGCGGUUAACUUCUGAAUUUUCAGGUUUUUGUUCGGAAAGUCAUUGAGCUUCAUGAUAAAUAUUUGGCAUAUGUGAAUAGUUGUUUCCAAAACCACAUACUUUUUCACAAGGUAUGUGUUGGAAGGAAUGAUAGUUGUCUAAUUUAAUUGUUCUACUCUGUGCAUUAGGUCUGUGCAUAAGGGUAAAAGUAAAUUGCUAAUAUCUGUCCCCUUUGUCACUUUCUAGGCACUUAAAGAAGCUUUCGAGCUUUUCUGCAACAAGGGUGUUGCUGGUAGCUCAAGCACUGAAAUUCUUGCCACAUUCUGCGACAACAUUCUCAAAAGAGGCGGGAGUGAGAAAUUGAGAGAUGAAGCCAUAGAAGAGACAUUGGAGAAGGUGAGCUCUUUCUCUAUAAAUCCCCUUCCCUUCUUUUCUUCUAGAGCAUCUGCUUUUUCUUUGUACAACUGGAGCAGAAGCUGAUAAUAGAUUUCACUUGCAGGUGGUAAAGCUGCUAGCUUAUAUUAGUGAUAAGGACUUGUUUGCAGAAUUCUAUAGGUAGAGUUACCUCUACUCUGUAUCUCAACCACUACUUGAAUAGUAGCUUCUUUUCUGUUACAAGUUAAUGACUUCCUUUUUUUUCAGGAAAAAGCUAGCUCGGCGGUUGUUAUUUAAUAAGAGUGCCAAUGUUGAACAUGAGAGAAGUAUCAUAACAAAGUUGAAGCAGCAGUGUGGGGGGCAGUUCACAUUAAAGAUGGAGGGAAUGGUAAACUACCCAGAUCAAUUAUUCUGAAUUUGAGGCUAUGUUCUCUGGUGACAUUCUUCUUCUCGUCCUAUAGGUCACAGAUUUGACAUUGGUAAGGGAAAAUCAAGCCAGCUUUGAGGAGUACGUGAGCAACAAUCCAAUAGCAAAUCCAGGAAUUGACUUGACGGUGACUGUCUUGAAUACUGGCUUCUGGCCUAGCUACAAGUCUUUUGAUCUCAACCUCCCAACAGAAAUGGUAUAUCAUAUAAAUAUGUUUAAUGUCAUUAUGCAGUUGAUUUUAUCAUGAUUUUGACCCUUGUUCCUCUUGCUGAAGUUCUUCUCUUUCGGCAAAGAAUGAUGCAUGUUUUUUUUGCUUGAAUCAUAUUUCUUCUCAAACGUCUUGUCAAUGAUUCAUUUUAUGUUGCGCAUUGUCAGAUUAGGUGCGUUGAAGUAUUCAAGCAGUUUUAUCAAACAGAAACGAAGCACAGGAAGCUUACGUGGAUAUACUCUUUGGGAACUUGCAUUAUAAAUGGAAAAUUUGAGCCAAAGUCUAUUGAGCUCGUUGUCACUACUUAUCAGGUUGAUUGUUGGCUUACUUUUUGAAAUCGGAUAGGCUUAGUUAGUUUGAAACAUUUUUAUUACCUUAUCAAUGAGAAAACGAGAUUGAGAUUUCUUCCUUUUUGUAGGCUUCUGCUCUGCUGCUCUUUAAUGCAUCAGAUAGAUUGAGUUAUCAGGAAAUCAUGACACAAUUAAACCUGUCAGAUGAUGAUGUUGUUCGGCUUCUUCAUUCCCUUUCGUGUGCGAAGUACAAGAUUCUCAACAAGGAGCCAAGCACCAAAACAAUUUCUCCGACUGAUGUCUUUGAGUUCAACUCAAAGUUCACUGACAUAAUGAGGAGGAUGAAGGUACAAUAAUGAUGAGUAAGGUUAGCCUUUGUACUAUGAAUUGUUGCACUACAUUACUGACCCAGUGAGGAUAUUGCUGUAAUGGUAUGCAGUUACCUCUGGCUCCUGUUGAUGAGAAGAAAAAGGUAAUUGAAAACGUUGACAAGGAUAGGCGGUAUGCUAUAGAUGCUUCGAUUGUGCGUAUUAUGAAGAGUCGUAAAGUACUGGGCUACCAGCAACUGGUCAUUGAAUGCGUUGAGCAGUUGGGACGGAUGUUCAAGGUAUCCUCAGGGAUAAACUUCUGCUUCUCAAUUUUCAUGUUCAUUAUUCAAGUUCAACUGAGCUAAUUACUUUGUUUUGGAUACUCAUAGCCUGAUGUCAAAGCUAUCAAGAAGAGAAUUGAAGAUUUGAUAACUAGAGAUUACCUUGAGAGGGACAAAGAUAAACCAAACUUGUUCAAGUACUUGGUAUGAUUUGUGCAAAUCAUGGUGAAUGAGUGAUGUUUACAGGACUUCUGCAAUCGACAUAGGAGGAGAAACAUGCCGCCCAAGAUGAAGACGGAUUUCUGCAACUCCUACCUUCCUGGACCUUUUAUUGCCUUGCAUCAGGAGCUUGAAUCAUUUUGUACAAAUGGUUAAGAACUUAAGAUCUCAGGAAAAAGUAGAAUUGCCUCUCAGAUACUUCAGUUGAGAUUGCCUUAACUUCUUCCAGUCUUAUAUGGCCCUUUCGCGUGCUCUAUUCCGUGUUUGUCAGCUAUCUGUUCGAGUUUUGAGUAAAUGUAAUAUUCUAGUCACAGCUUACCCUCUCUGGAUUUAGCACAAUGGUAAUUACUUUUAGGAUAUGCUCUACAAUCCUACUUUCUUGGUUCUUUGUAGAUUGUGAUUUGAACCUUGGUGGUCCUUAUGGGGCCUUCUUUCAACCUUGGGCAAGUUUAUUGGAUCUGGAACCUCAUUACUCAACAGUUAUCUAUUGAAUGAAUCACUUGCCUAAGUUUUAGGUCCAUUAUCCCAAACUUUACAGAUGUGAAAAACUUGUAGCUUCGGAAUGACAUUCAGACCUGAAUCUGAAUUGUAUGGCUUUGUAGAUAGAAGAUACCAGCUCGAUAUAUUAACACUCAUAAGGUUACAAAAAUAUGCUACAUAAAAUUACAUAACUAGCUAGUAAUAGAAAUUAUGAGAAACACCAUAUGUUUACAUAGCCGGGUCAAGUGUGUAAUGGUCUCUGAUCUGACACCAAUCAUCCUCGAGCCUAGAGCCAAAUCUUAGGCAUGUGAAAGUACACAAGUGUUGGUGAUAAUAGCCUUUUUAGGUGGCAAAAUAGCUUUUUGCCUAGUAUCUGUAACUUUUUUACCCUUUAAGUAAGCCCUUACAUAUGGAAAAGAUCUUGAAUCUUAAUAUUUUCUUGCUCUCGUUGUUAUAUCGAUUUCAUAUUAAUGUUCUUAUGGCAUAAUCAAUAUUCGUUCUUUAUUAUUGUUUCAUCAACAGCCCAAAAAAGAAAAGGAAAAGAGUUUGAUCGAUAUAUUAAAAUUCACUUGUCAUUAAGCCCUAAUUUGGAACACUUUUAUUACGUUAUCAAUGAGAAAACGAUAUUGAGACUUCCUUUUCGUAGGCUUCUGCUCUGCUUCUCUUUAAUGCAUCAGAUAUAUUGAGUUAUCAGGAAAUCAUGGGCCAAUUAAACCUAUCAGAUGAUGAUGUUGUUCGGCUUCUUCAUUCCCUUUUAUGUCCGAAGUACAAGAUUCUCAACAAGGAACCAACCACCAAAACAAUUUCUCCGACUGAUGUCUUUGAGUUCAACUCAAAGUUCACUGGCAAAAUGAGGAGGAUCAAGGUACAAUUAAUGAUGAGUAAGGUUAGCCUUUCUACUAUGAAUGUUGCACUACAUAACUUACCCCAUGAGGAUAUUGCUGUAAAUGUAUGCAGAUGCAUCUCCCCCUUGUUGAUGAGAAGAAAAAGGUAAUUGAAGACGUUGACAAGGAUAGACAGUAUGCUAUAGAUGCUUCAAGUAGUGGGGGUGGGGGAUUGGGUGAGUAAGAGGAGACAAUAAACUUGGAAAAAGGAACCAUUGAUGACAAGAAGAGAAUCGAGUGAGAUGUGAAUCUCUCUUUCUCCUUUUAUGUGUUUUUCCUUUUUCCUCGAAAACCCCCUUAUACUUCUAACUAUUUCCAUUUUUGUCGCGGUUAAGCCCUGAAGCAAGACUCAAAACGUGUUGAGCGCUUCAGCUUGCUUUAUGUGCGCUUCUAUAUUGUCAUUAAGGUUCUAAGGCAAACUUUUCCUUGCCAAUGAGCCUCUUCGGAAGAAGUGAUCAUAAUUUUUUUUCAAUUUCUAUGGUCAUAUAUUUGUCAUGUAUGUUUAUAAUUAUUAAUCUUAGACUAAACAUAUAUAUUUGUAUAUUUUGUCCCUUUGCGCUUUUUUAAUUAAAGCCCACACUUUAUUUGCGCUUUGCGCUUAAAGCCCCAACGGACCUUAGAGUUUUUUUGCUCUUUUCGCCUUUGAUAACACUGAUUCAUUAGGAAAGUCAUUUUCCUAGAUUAUUUUUUUUUUAAAGCAUUUUGACCAAUCAAAUAUUAAAAAUAUGGAAUAAAUAGACAACACUCUCAAAAAAGAAAAAGAAAAAGUACUCAAGCACUUUGGGUAAAAAUGCAUAAAACCCAAAAAUAGUUGGAAUACAUUUGCAAUAACUCUGAAUGAAAAACAAAGAAAUUACCCCGGCAAAAAUGGAAAUAGUUAGAAGUAUAAGGGGAUUUUCGAGGAAAAAGGAAAAUCACAUAAAAGGGGAAAGAGAUUCACAUCUCACCCGAUUCUCUUCUUGUCAUCAAUGGUUCCUGCCUUCCUGGCAGCUCCAUCUUGUGCCCUCAUCGGGUCGAGACUCUCUGAUCACCCUUUCGGCAAAUUCCUUCACUCUCCAGUGACAUCACAGGUACAUUUUCCGGUUAAAUUGUGAGUUCCGAUUCGAUGUACAUUGUUCCCACAUAUGUAUAUACCUAUGAUGCAUAGUUGAUGUGGUGCUUUCGGUUUAAUUGCUUCUUCCUUUGCUUCGGAUUGAUCCUGUUAUUAAUUUUGUUUCCAGUAGCUAUUGAAAUUGUGCUAUUUUGUUGUGGUUGAUUUUGUGAUCUUCAGAGCUGUUAUUGAUGGACUAGUUUUAUGUUGUUUUUUAUUUCUCUAUAGUUGAUUCUGAGCAUGAGUGUUUUGUCCUUUUGAAGUUAGGUAUAGUGGAGGUUUAGUAUUCAUUACUGGUAGGUUUUGAGUUUAAUUUUUUGUUCAUUAUUUGUUGCAACUGACGGCGUUCAUGUAAAAUAGUGUAAUUUUGAAGGAUCCGAGCAACUUAGUUUUUCAGUGUUUGUGAUGUGUAUUUUUUUUUGCUAUUCUCAGUUUUAUUUACUUAUUAAUUUAUAUAUGUUUAUUGGAAAAUGUUGUAUACGGUUUUCUUUUUUGAUGGAAUCCUGAAAAGAUUUUAAAAGUUCAUAUCUUUUAGGGCCAAGUGUGCAAUUUUGGUAUUUCUAGUUUAUGCAGGUCCUAGGAAUAACUUGGUGAAACUUAGUUCUUGAGGAAUUCCUAUCAGGUCAGGGUCUUCGGGAACCUUAAUCGUUAGGAAUCAAUCAAUUGUAUGGAAUGUGCUUAGAGAUGUAUCAUAUGAUACCAGCCGACAUGUCUCAUGCCACCAAAAUGUUGUUAUCGUGUGGGUACUAGUCCAAUAACUGCAAUUUCCUGAAAACUGCCCCUUUUCAGGGCAAAGGACGUUAAGAGCUUGCAAAAAAAUUGCUGAAUCAAUCCCUAAAUAGAAUUUAGAGUAGAAUUCCUUUUCACCAAGCAAUAAGCAUGAAUAAAAUGUAAGCUCACAUGAAUCAUGAGCAUAGAUGAUUUGUUGGCAGGUAAAUAUCAAUAGCGGAUGAGGUAAUUACUUAGGGUUUUUAUUUCGGUUGAAUGUAGGUUGUCUCUGUUGCACAUUAUUGUACUCUUGUGAAGCUCUCUCGAAGGCGUCUUUUUUUUUUGUGUGACAUGUACUUUUACUUUACGCUUAUCUCAGCACUUCUAAAUUUUGAAGUUUGGACUUGUUUAGUUACAUAAAUGGCUCAUUUGUGCUUAUUAUACUUGAAGUCCUAUACAUCCAACUAAAUAUAUAAUUCAGAGUGGUAAAGAAUCUUUAGAAACAAAGAUCACACUGAACCAAUAAAAAAACUCACUACCUUUUCCAGUUAGGCAUCUAUAACUGUGGUAAUUCGGAAUAUUUCUAGUUAGUGAGCUUCGAUUCUUUCCUUUAUUAUUGGAUUUUAUUCUUGUGCUCCUUUAUCUUCUCUCCUCUUUGUAUUACUUGAAUUUAAGCCGCCAAUAUGUAAUCCUGUUUCUUGUUCUUGAUUUUUAGUCAUAUUCUUCUACCCUUUCUAUUGUGAGACCCAGAAAUGGCUCAAGGUACUUCUGCGAUUCUUAGUAUGCAUCACUCCUUAACAGCCCCACACUUCGAAGCCUUGAAAUCCAAGUAAUCUGGUCCAUAUUUCAAGGAUAAAGCCAAGUUUGUAGACUGUCCAACAUCAGAUUUCGGUAUUUAAUAAGAGCAUUCUUUCUGUCAUUUGUUUGUUUAUUCUCAAGAAUAGAGUCAAAUAUUAAUGUGAUUUGAUUUUCUGAUUGGCUUAUAACUUGCUUGAUUUUCUUAUUAGCUUUUGUUGAGUUUAGUUGGUGAUGUUAUUUAGUUUCGGAACAGGGCCACAGGUGUUUGGAAUUUGUGUAAGGUUGCAUUCUGUUAAAUUGUGAAGAUAUUAAAAUCACAAUGAUCCAACAUAGCACAAUCGAUCUGGAACAUGGAUUGCAUUCAUGCAAAGGGGCAGCGCAAAGCUGAAGAAUAUUCGAGAAGGGCCGCCUCAGCUCAGAGGACUAUAUGAAGCUGUAUACACAUCCUCUUAGACUCCCACACUGUUAGGCAUGUAGAUAACUUGGAUUUGAUUAACCUUUUGUCUCCUUAAGUGUACUAGCAGGACAAUUUACAACAGGUGUACUCAGAAUCCCCCACAUGAUUAUUCUCAACAGCUGUAUGACAAAUAUCGUGAAGCUUUUGAAGAAUAUAUCACAACAACGGGUAAGGGUAGCUGCAGUUUUCAUUCGCAUUUUACUUUGGUAGAAAUUAAACAAGGC
rnacentral:lncRNA from 1 species